CUCCCCGUAGCUCAGCAGGAUAGAGCGUUGGAUUCCUAAUCCAAAGGCCACAGGUUCGAAUCCUGUCGGGGAGGCCA
rnacentral:tRNA from 5 species